rnacentral:rRNA from 1 species
UACGGGGGGGGCAAGCGUUGUUCGGAAUUACUGGGCGUAAAGGGCUCGUAGGCGGCCAACUAAGUCAGACGUGAAAUCCCUCGGCUUAACCGGGGAACUGCGUCUGAUACUGGUUGGCUUGAGUGUGGGAGAGGGAUGCGGAAUUCCAGGUGUAGCGGUGAAAUGCGUAGAUAUCUGGAGGAACACCUGUGGCGAAAGCGGCUCACUGGACCAUAACUGACGCUGAUGCACGAAAGCUGGGGGAGCAAACAGG